GACGAACGCUGGCGGCGUGCUUAACACAUGCAAGUCGAACGGAAAGGCCCUGCUCUUGCGGGGUGCUCGAGUGGCGAACGGGUGAGUAUCACGUGUGUAACCUGCCCUUAACUUUCGGAUAACAUCAGGAAACUGGGGCUAAAACCGGAUAGGAGCUCCUGCUGCAUGGUGGUGGUUGGAAAGUUUCGGCGGUUGGGGAUGGACUCGCGGCUUAUCCGCUUGUUGGUGGGGUAGUGGCUUUCCAAGGCUUUGACGGGUAGCCGGCCUGAGAGGUUGACCGGCGACAUUGGGACUGAGAUACGGCCCAGACGCCUACGGGAGGCAGCAGUGGGGAAUAUUGCACAAUGGGCGGAAGCCUGAUGCAGCAGCGCCGCGUGCGGGAUGACGGCCUUCGGGUUGUAAACCGCUUUCGCCUGUGACGAAGCGUGAGUGACGGUAAUUGGUAAAGAAGCACCGGCUAACUACGUG
rnacentral:rRNA from 1 species